rnacentral:pre_miRNA from 15 species
CAAGAACAUAUAUUCAAAUUCUAGUCGAUUUGUCUUUUUCCGCUUACUGGCGUUUAAUUCAAACAACGACAGGAAAGGGAAAAAGGCGUAUUUACUAUGAGUUUGGUCAACAUUUCGUCA